rnacentral:rRNA from 1 species
CACGUAGGGUGCGAGCGUUGUCCGGAAUUACUGGGCGUAAAGAGCUCGUAGGUGGUUUGUCGCGUUGUCCGUGAAGACUCACGACUCAAUUGUGGGCGUGCGGGCGAUACGGGCAGACUGGAGUACUGCAGGGGAGACUGGAAUUCCUGGUGUAGCGGUGGAAUGCGCAGAUAUCAGGAGGAACACCGGUGGCGAAGGCGGGUCUCUGGGCAGUAACUGACGCUGAGGAGCGAAAGCGUGGGGAGCGAGCAGG